GAUGAACGCUAGCUACAGGCUUAACACAUGCAAGUCGAGGGGUAACGAGAGGAAAGCUUGCUUUCCUUGUCGACGACCGGCGCACGGGUGAGUAACGCGUAUCCAACCUGCCCCCAACUAAGGAAUAACCUUGCGAAAGUAAGACUAAUACCUUAUAAUUUCCUCAGAUGUCAUCUGACGAGGAAUAAAGAUUUAUCGGUUGUGGAUGGGGAUGCGUCUGAUUAGCUUGUUGGCGGGGUAACGGCCAACCAAGGCAAAGAUCAGUAGGGGUUCUGAGAGGAAGGUCCCCCACAAUGGAACUGAGACACGGUCCAAACUCCUACGGGAGGCAGCAGUGAGGAAUAUUGGUCGAUGGGCGGAAGCCUGAACCAGCCAAGUAGCGUGCAGGAUGACGGCCCUAUGGGUUGUAAACUGCUUUUAUACAGGAAUAAAGUUAGCCACGUGUGGUUAUUUGUAGGUACUGUAUGAAUAAGGACCGGCUAAUUCCGUGCCAGCAGCCGCAGUAA
rnacentral:rRNA from 1 species